GAUGAACGCUGGCGGCGUGCCUAAUACAUGCAAGUCGAGCGAACAGACGAGGAGCUUGCUCCUCUGACGUUAGCGGCGGACGGGUGAGUAACACGUGGAUAACCUACCUAUAAGACUGGGAUAACUUCGGGAAACCGGAGCUAAUACCGGAUAAUAUAUUGAACCGCAUGGUUCAAUAGUGAAAGACGGUUUUGCUGUCACUUAUAGAUGGAUCCGCGCCGCAUUAGCUAGUUGGUAAGGUAACGGCUUACCAAGGCAACGAUGCGUAGCCGACCUGAGAGGUUGAUCGGCCACACUGGAACUGAGACACGGUCCAGACUCCUACGGGAGGCAGCAGUAGGGAGUCUUCCGCAAUGGGCGAAAGCCUGACGGAGCAACGCCGCGUGAGUGAUGAAGGUCUUCGGAUCGUAAAACUCUGUUAUUAGGGAAGAACAAAUGUGUAAGUAACUAUGCACGUCUUGACGGUACCUAAUCAGAAAGCCACGGCUAACUACGUG
rnacentral:rRNA from 1 species